AUUGUUUUAAAUUUUUUUUAUUCUUACACGCUUCAAGUAUUUUACCACAGAUUUUGGGUGUUCUCUUGUUAUCCUAAACGACCCACCUGGCGCCAAUUUAAACUCGCUUACCAAUGAAAGGAAACUAACACUAUUUGUUCAAUAACAUUUGACAUUCGUGUGUAUCGACAAAUUAACGAGUAAAAAAUUAUUGACGGCGGACGCGACGCGUUAAUACGUGAUGUCACAUAUAGAGUAGGUAGUCGUUUUCACAUGUUGUUUUUCAGAAAUUUACCUCCUCGGUUCCCCCAGCUCCGUUUUUUAUGGUGUUUUUAUAAAAAUGUCUAUUAGACCGUUGUUGUAGGUAUUUACUAUUUAGUAAUGUUUUAAUUUCAUAAAACUGUCGGUAUUUAGGAUAUUAUAUUUUGAUGAGAAAAAAUGUCCGUAACAAUGAAAUUCUAAUUGACCUGUAUAAUAAUAAAUAUAGGUACUGCGUGUUAAUAUUCUUAGACGAUCCCUCUUCGAGGCAUUCCCACAAGCCCGCCGCGACGGUUCUAUGAUAAUAAAAGUGUCGUUAUAUACGUAUUAUUUUAACGUUAAUACUGCGAUAGGUAUGUCAUCAUUUGAACUGUAGCACACGUUCCCGGCGCACGCGUUAUACCGCGCUCGGCGGCGUUUAUAAUAUAUUUAGACCGUAAAACACAUUCGAAAUGUUCAAAUACGUCUACUUGAUCGUGUGCGUUUUAUGUCUGUUCUACGUGCUAGCCGCCGUCUACAUGCUGCUCAGCGAUUUGAUAUUGGAUCCUUUGCACGGUUAUCUGUUCGACCGAGUGGACACCGGUGCCGGCCAAACCACCAGCUAUAGCUAAGGUGCAUUGUGUAAUCCUUAGAGUAACAAUUACUCUUUGGUGUAAUCCAAUGGUGAAAUUCACUUCAAAUCAAAAAACUAUUAGUAAACCACUUCGAAACCAACAAGUUUCAAGAAAGUAAAAAUGUUCAGAAAAUGGUUUUAUAGAUUCUAAGAUUUUUACAGGACUUAAACAGGAUUUGGUAUCAUACAAACUGAAAGAAAAACAGAUGAUUAACAAAAAUGGUAGCAAACAGAUAUGAAAUUACAGAAAUCAGAAUAUAAAAUUUGUAUCGAAAUGACUGUUAUCAGCUUAUGUAUUACAUAUAUUUAUAUUUUACUGUUAUCCAAAGUUGAUAAAUUCUCAAGCUUAAACUAAACAUAAUAAUAUAACAAUCGCUUUUAGCUUUUUAUUUUUUAUACAUAUAUCAAAUGUAAAUAAUAUUUUAUUGUUAUAAAGUUAUAUAUUAAUUAUUAAUCACUUGAAAGUUGUGAAUACACUAAAAUUAAAAAUUGUAUUUGUAAUUCCCUGUAUUAUAUUGUUAUAAAUAAA